GCAAAACGCGAAGAACCUUACCAGGUCUUGACAUCCUCUGACACUCCUAGAGAUAGGACUUUCCCCUUCGGGGGACAGAGUGACAGGUGGUGCAUGGUUGUCGUCAGCUCGUGUCGUGAGAUGUUGGGUUAAGUCCCGCAACGAGCGCAACCCUUGAUCUUAGUUGCCAGCAUUUAGUUGGGCACUCUAAGGUGACUGCCGGUGACAAACCGGAGGAAGGUGGGGAUGACGUCAAAUCAUCAUGCCCCUUAUGACCUGGGCUACACACGUGCUACAAUGGAUGGUACAAAGGGCUGCAAGACCGCGAGGUUUAGCCAAUCCCAUAAAACCAUUCUCAGUUCGGAUUGCAGGCUGCAACUCGCCUGCAUGAAGCCGGAAUCGCUAGUAAUCGCGGAUCAGCAUGCCGCGGUGAAUACGUUCCCGGGUCUUGUACACACCG
rnacentral:rRNA from 1 species